rnacentral:rRNA from 1 species
ACUGCUUCAGUAACACGUGGAUAACCUGCCCUCAGGUCUGGCAUAACCCCGGGAAACUGGGGAUAAUUCCGGAUAACGCAUAUAUGCUGGAAUGCUUUAUGCGUCAAAGGUCCUCCGCCUGAGGAUGGGUCUGCGGCCUAUCAGGUAGUAGCGGGUGUAAUGUACCUGCUAGCCGACGACGGGUACGGGUUGUGAGAGCAAGAGCCCGGAGAUGGAUUCUGAGACAUGAAUCCAGGCCCUACGGGGCGCAGCAGGCGCGAAAACUUUACAAUGCGGGAAACCGUGAUAAGGGGACACCGAGUGCCAGCAACAUUUGCUGGCUGUCCAGGUGUGUAAACUACACCUGUUAGCAAGGGCCGGGCAAGACCGGUGCCAGCCGCCGCGGUAACACCGGCGGCCCGAGUGGUGAUCGUUAUUAUUGGGUCUAAAGGGUCCGUAGCCGGUUUAGUCAGUCCUCCGGGAAAUCUGUCAGCUCAACUGAUAGGCUAUCGGGGGAUACUGCUAGACUUGGAACCGGGAGAGGUAAGAGGUACUACAGGGGUAGGAGUGAAAUCUUGUAAUCCCUGUGGGACCACCUGUGGCGAAGGCGUCUUACCAGAACGGGUUCGACGGUGAGGGACGAAAGCUGGGGGCACGAACCGGAUUAGAUACCCGGGUAGUCCCAGCCGUAAACGAUGCUCGCUAGGUGUCAUGCAUGGUGCGACCGUGUAUGGUGCCGUAGGGAAGCCGUGAAGCGAGCCACCUGGGAAGUACGGCCGCAAGGCUGAAACUUAAAGGAAUUGGCGGGGGAGCAC